rnacentral:rRNA from 1 species
GACGAACGCUGGCGGCGUGCUUAACACAUGCAAGUCAGGGGGCGGGGUAACCCGUCACCGGCGAACGGGUGCGGAACACGUGAGCGACCUGCCCUGGUGUGGGGGAUAGCCGGCCCAACGGCCGGGUAAUACCGCAUACGGCGCCCGCUUGGAAGCGGGAGGCGAAACUGGCAAGAGGCGCUAGGAGGGGCUCGCGGCCUCUCAGCGAGUUGGUGCGGUAACGGCGCACCGAUGCGAUGGCGGGUAGCUGGUCUGAGAGGGUGGCCAGGCACACUGGGACGGUCCGGCCGCCUACGCUCGUCCGGGGGGCGGAAGUGGGGACAAUUGGCGAAUGGGCGAAAGACUGACGCCGCGACGCCGCGUGGAGGAUGAGGCCCUUAAGGGUGUAAAAUCCUGUUGGACGGGACGAAUGCCCCGCAGCGGCGGGCUUGACGGUACCGGGUGAGAAAGCACCGGCUAACUCUGUG